AAGAUUUAGUGGCGAACGGGUGAGGAUCACGUGAGAAACCUGCCCCAGACUUUGGGAUAACACCGGGAAACCGGUGCUAAUACCGGAUACUCCAUCUUGGCGGCAUCGCCGAGCUGGGAAAAAAUUUUGAUGAAAGAUGGUCUCGCGGCCUAUCAGCUAGUUGGUGAGGUAAAGGCUCACCAAGGCGACGACGGGUAGCCGGCCUGAGAGGGCGACCGGCCACACUGGGACUGAGACACGGCCCAGACUCC
rnacentral:rRNA from 1 species